ensembl:lncRNA
UUAUUAUUUUUUGUCUGUAUUGUUAUACAGCUAAACCAUCAUUCUUUAGCCAGUCCUCUGUUAAGGAACAUUUAGGUUGUUUAUUCGGUUUCCCUUCAAGAAGAAGGCAUCAGUGGAUAUCCUUGCCAAGAAAUCUUUGACAAAUCCUCAAUGAUUAAUUUUGAGUGUUUUCUAGGAGGAGAGCGAUGCGCCCUGGGAAAGGUACGCACGUUUUAGGACCAGUUUGUUCUAGAUACCACACACUGCCCUCCGGAAAUGUCCUGGUGAUGCUCUGUGAGUUUCCUGGGCUGCCAUAACAAACUGCCACAACCGGGGUGGCUUCAACAACAGAAAUUUCUUCUCACGCAGUUCUGGAGGCCAGAUCCAAAAUCGGGUGAUGGCAGGGCCACGCUCCCCCUGAAGACCCUGGGGGAGAAUCCUUCCUCGCCUCUCACAGCUUCUGCCAGCAGCCCGCAUUCCUUGGCUUGUAGCCCCAUCGCUGAGGUCUCUGCCCCUGUGCUCACAUCGUCUCCUCCUGUCGUCUUCUCCCCUGUGUGUCUCUUACUGUCAUAUGAUCCAGGAUGACCUCCUCCUCUCAAGAUCCUCAAUUUAAUCACGCUGGCAAAGAUUCUUUUGCCAAAUGAGGAACAAAAGGGACGUUACCCCAAAAAGAAAGAAAAUUUGAAAAUCAAUGAGACUAACGGUGGUCAAAAACCGAGAUGCUCUUGCAAAGAGAUGGAGCAGAGAUGAAAACAACAAAGGAGAAAAGUAACAGGCGGAUGGUUCUGCCACUGGAGGAGCCGAAGCACUAGACGCGAGGAAGGGAAGACGAGUUUCAGAAACUCGCCAAAAGAAAGCUCUGGGGGGAACAUGAGAGCCUUUGAGAGGGACCAGUAAAGAAAGGAUCCGUGAGGUGUCCAGCAGGGAGCUGGGAUCCUGGAACCCAAGAGGACUCCACCCAGGCUGGGACCGGGGUUCAAACGCUGCUUGCUGGGCAGCUUCAGGCAAGUGAAUCAACCUCUCUGGAACUCGGGGUUUGCUAUCUAUAAAAUGGGCACAGCAAGAGUGGCAGGUCCUGAGAAGGAGAGGAGAUCUAGCAUCAGAGUCGAGAUGGCGAGAGCAUCCCUCUUCCUGCUUCCCCUCUUUGGUGUCCCAUCUGGAAACCCCCUGGGGCGGAGGACUCACCCUGGUCCCCGAAACUCACUCGGCUCCAUUAGCAACACUUCUUAAAAGCUCCUUCUGACCCUGGAGCAGCCCCUGCCGCUGGAAAGCUGUCAGACUGCUCGCUGCACCUGCCCUCUGACCAAGCGAUUCCAUUUUUAGGAAUUUACACCACAGAAACACUUACAUGGGUGACAAGGGAAAACGUGCAGGAAAUUCAUUGCAUCACUGUUUAUAAUAGCAGAACUUUGCAAACGGCCUGGACACCCAUCGGGGGCACUGAUUACGUACAGGUGGAGGCACCGCCAGGUGGGAGAGCAAGAGGCUGGACAGACCCCCGCCGGCUUCUUCAAGGAGUGGCCGAGAACAACUGUAUGUCCACAAGGCACGUCAACACCCCUGCUUGUAAACCGGCCGUUAGCGCGGCUCACCGUGGCUGCUCUGGGAAGGAGCGGGGGGCUUGGGUAGGAGGGGGAGUCAUUCCAGCCUCAAACCCUUUUCUCUCUGACUCAGUUCACUGUGAGCAUGUCCUGGAGACAGCUGUCCACUGGCCUUCGUCCCACUCGCAUGGUGAGAAGAAACUUCCGGGGCUUACCCAUGGUUCUCCUCUCCGUCUCAGGCGUGGGGUGAAGCCAUGUGACUGGUGCUGGCCAGUGGAGUGUGGGAGGCAGGGACGUGAUGCUCUUUCCCUGCCUCGGGGACCCAGAGAUGGAGGCGCCACCAGCGGGAGGCAGCCUGGAUCCCUGGGCCUUCGCGUGGAGGGCAGUUGCCCUGGAGAAGCUCCUGGACCCACGGCAGACUUUGCUGGAUGCAGAACAGACUUGUGCUGUGUGAGACACUGCGAUGUGGGGCUCGCUCGUUACGCAGCACAACCGAGCCUUGCUCACCGAUACAGACGUGGAAAACCACAUUCUGGUUCAAGGGAAGCCCAGAGACCUUGGACAAGUCUCUUGACUCCUCCAGGCCUCAGUUUCCCCAGGUGUACUGUCAGGCAAGGGGUCUUUUCUCCUCUGACUAGGGCCUGUGCUGCUCCUGUUCCCAAACCCCACACGCCUGGGGCAUAUCUGCCAGGACUAAGGACUGCUGGGUGCUGAGUGCUUCCUGGACGCCGGCCUCCGCUGGACCACCUUGCAGGCAUCAUGGAAUCCUCGCAGUGGCCCCAGAGGGAGGCACCAUCAUCAUCCCCAUUACCCCGUGAGGAAACUCAGGCUCCGGGAGGGGAGGACACUUGCCCGGGAAUACGGCAUCUGUGAUUCUUAACUGCUCUAAUGACAACUCCCAUCUGAUAUUUUAAUUUAUUUCUUGUAAAUGCAACUUAAAAGAAAGCCCACUGUUGACAACUUGAGAGAACUUAGAAUACGAUUUUUUUUAAAUUUGCCAUCGUAACCAUUUUUAAGCGUACAGUUCAGUGGCAUAACGUACAGUCACAUUCUUGUGCAACCAUCACCACCAUCCGUCUCCAGAACUCUUUCUGUGUGUGUGAGGAAGACUGGCCCUGAGCUAACUUCUGUUGCCAAUCUUCCUCUUUUUGCUCGAGGAAGAUUGUCGCUGAGCUAACAUCUGUGCCCAUCUUCCUCUAUUUUAUGUGGGAUGCCAACACAGCAUGGCUUAAUGAACGGUGCCAGGUCCACAUCCGGGAUCUGAACCCAGGAACCCCAGCCGCAGAACGGAGCACACGGACUUAAGCACUACGCUGUGGGGCCAGCCCUUCCAGAACUCUUUUUAUCUUGAGAAACUCUGUACCCAUUAAACAAAGCUCUCCAUCCUGCCCCUCCCCCCCGCCCUCACAGCCCAGGUCUUGGCAUCCAACCUUCUCCUUUGUUCUCCUCUCUGUGAGUUUGCCCAUUCUGAGUACCUAAUAUAAGUGGAAUCAUACAGUAUUUGUCCUUUUGUGUCGGGCUUAUUUCACUUAGCACGUGUCCUCAAGGUUCACCCGUCCUGAAGCGAGUGUCAGAAUUUCCUUCCUUUUUGAGGCUGACUGGUACUCCGCUGUAAUGUAUACUCUACACCACGUUUUGUUGGUCCCUUCAUCUGUUGAUGGACUGUUGGGUGACUCCCCCCCUUUGGGCUAUUGUGAAUGAUGCUGCAGUGAACACGGGCGCGCAUAUAGCUUUCAAUUCUUUUGGAUACAUACCCAAAAGUGGAAUUGCUGGAUCAUAUGGUGAUUCUAUUUUUAAUUUUUUGGAGAAACUCCAUACUGUUUUCCGUAGCGGCUGCACCAUUUGACAUUCCCACCAACACUGUACGAGCUCCCAAUUUCUCCACAUCCUCGCCAACACUUGUUACUUUCUGGGUUUUGACAGUAGCCAUCCUAACAGGUGCGAGGUGGGGUCUCACUGUGGUUUUGGUUUGCGUUUCCCUGAUGAUCAACAAGGGAAGCAGGAUUUUUUAAAUGCCACCGGUGAGUCUAGAGUGGUGCAGACACCUAGGUCUGUUUCCACGGGAGGGAGCAGGGGCCGGGGUGCUGUGCUACUCGGGAGGGAUGCUGUAGCCGCAGCUCAAAGUCCUCGGCUCCCAAACAGGUGACUGGGCCUGUGCUCCCGGGGCUGCAGUGUGACCCGUGCCCCAGCGGACAGGCUGGGAUCCCAACUUCUCCAGAACCUCAGCUGCCGUGGGAUGUUGCAAGCCCAACUUCCCCCGCUGGGCCUGAGGAGGAACUGAGCUGGGCCUUUCCAGCCCAAGCUGACCCUGUGACUGUCAGUUCCCACCCAGGCCUGGGACACCGAGCAGAGAGGACGCGGCCCCACAGCGCAGCAGGAAGUGGGGUGAUCUGCACGCCCCCUGGCCUUCCACUUCCGGACAAGGGCAGCUUUGUGUGUGGGAUGCGAGCAGGGACUUAGGAUCCAGACAGACUCAGUCCGAGUUCCAUCUUUGCCGUUCACCAGCUGUGUGGCCUUAGAUAAGUCACUUCCCCUCCCAACCCCCCCGUUUUCUCAUCUGUAAAACGGCUGAAAUGGUGCUUGGCGCAUGGUCAGCGCUCACGAAGCACUGCGUAUAAUCACCAACAUCAUCAUCCUCCUCCUUCUCAUCAACAUCAAGAAGCAUGACCAGGUCACGCCUGUGUCAAACAGUCCAUGGCUCCCCAUUGCUGGCAGGAAAAAGUCUACCACACUCUUAUGGGCUCGUGGGCACUGUCUGGACUGGCCCCUGCUGACAUGUCCAACCUCCUCUUCCCUCACUGGUCACAUUCCAGUCACCUGGGCUGCCUCCUGUUCCGCAAACACCCAACACUUUUUUCUGCCACAGGCCCUCUGCACAUGCUCUUCCUCCUGCCUGAAAUGCGCUUCUUCCUGGACAUCCCAGCCCCGGUCCACAUGGGUGCCCUGGGCCCUCACAGCCCUAAAUGCUCGAACGGUGCCUACAGGUGCUCACAGUACUGAAUUGUGAAAUUAUUGGAGCAACGUCAGCCUCCCCACAAGAGCUCUGUGAGGCCAGGUUCACACUCCCUGUCACAGUGCAAGGACCAAGGACAGGGCUGACCCGGGUGCCCCCAGAAUGUGAGUCAUGUUGACUGACUGAUUCCCAGAAUCUCCCUGAUUUUGGAAACUCAGAUUCUUUUCAACAAAGACAAUCCAUUACUUAUAUAACCAAAUAAGCUUCAACUUUCAUACCUCUGUAAGACUUUUCCACGCAUUGAAUGAACAAAUCUGAGAAAACCCUCAGCUACCUCCCGUGUCCUAAUUUUUCAGCUCAGAAAAACAUGGUCACGGCGCUCUGAGCAGCUGCCCACGGUUCCCGCUGUGCCUCUCGCAGCCCAGCCUCGGGCCGUCCCUCCUUCAGCACACACCGAGCCUCCUGCCGGUCCGCCGGUCACCCCUGGCUUGGGGCUAAACACCGACCGUGAGUAAUGGCAGGUUGCAGAGGGCCGCGCAGACGCAUUUUCAGCCCCGUCAGCAAGAUCAGCGAGAGCCGUGGUGGCCCCGGGCCCAGGGCUGGGUCCUGACUCAGCCAGUCCACACACAGCAGCCCCCUUGCCCCCAACCAGCUAGGGAGCGAAGGUGCAGACUCCAAGGGGGCCACCGACUGGAGUCCCCGCCAGAUAUGUCACAAAGCCCAUGCCUUUGUGGAGGCCGCCACCUGCCACUUGUCUGUUUCGACAGCUAUUUGCAGAGCGAAUGUGUGUGCGGCCGGCCGGGGUGCGGGAGGCCCAGCGCAGACCCAGUGCCGCCCUCCUGCAGCAGGGGCAGGUGAGAACAAGAAUUACACAGUCAUCACUUCCAGGGAGACCCAGGGCUCCACUCUCCCCUGGGCUCACCACCCUCGGGCCUCUGGGUGGCGGGGCUGGCUUUACAGGACGCUUCAGAGGCCCCCAGGGGAGCAGGGGUUCAGAGGGGCCGCGUUGAUGUCCACUCACAGCGGUUCUCAUGGAAAGGACUUUCUUGCCGUGCUGACGCCAAUAGGCUCCAGUGACAAUCGCUCUCAGCACUGUGGGUGCCGGGAUGGUGGCUCAGGCCAGCUCAGGAAGGGGACACCCUGAGGAGGCCUGAAGAAGGGGGACUGUCCCAAGACGUAGGCGAGGCGAGGGAGGGCAUGGGACUUGGGUCCCUGUCUGGGUGGGCUCCAUGGACACCGGGGUGCAGGAGCCCCACCAGAGAAGACCUGAGCCUGGAGAAGGAGCUCGGCCUGGGCAGGGGAGGGGUCCCGAGAUGCUCCCAGACAUCAGAGGGGUGCUGAGCACCCCAUUUCAAGGUUCUCAUGGGGCUCACAUUCCUGUGGGGGAGACGACAGUGGACAGAAGGAAACAAACAAACACCUAUGUGGGAGGGGAGAGGUGGGGAGUCGGGGGAAGGGGCAGGGAAGGGGGGAGGAGGGCAGGGAGGGGGGAGACUCCAGGAGAGAUGGCUCAUGGCACUCCAGGGCGGGGUGAACCUGAGAGAUGGGAAGAAGGGUAGGGGUGGGAGAGGCAGGAGGGGUGAGGGUGGAGGUGGGAGAGAGAAGGGGUGGGGGUGGGGGAGGGAGAGGGUGGGGAGGAGGAGCAUUUUAUGAAUGGACAUAUGCUAGUCUGGAUCGCCACACUCAUGCACACAUGCACACACAUGUACACACAGGGAGAGCUUCCUGGGGGAGCUGCGCGCCCCUCGUUUCCUGCCCAGAGUUCUCAGGCAACAGGCUACACCCCAUCCCCCAUAACCAAGUCCUCCUCAUGGCUGCAGACCUUUAGGGGUGCCUCAGUCUUCUCAAGUCCCCAGCCCCCGUCCUACCCCCGUUCUGCAGCUGAAGCAGCACAGGCUUCCCUGGAGAGGGGAGCAGGUUCGGGUGGGGGUGGGGGAGACAGGAGGCCCAAACCCCACGGGGAUGGGAGCCCGCAGGGAAAUUCGCAUGCCAGCUGCCAGUAUGGCGGUCUCAGCUGCUGCCACCUCGAUGCACACGCUCACUGACACACACGUGUGUGCACGGACACACAAUCCCAGCCUCACACACACACUGACACAUACACUCCACACAAACGUGGACUCGGGUCCCCAGAGGGCCUGAGCUGUCUGCUCCAGAAGCCCCCUCUCUAGGCUGGCGCCCCCUCUGUGAAACGUUUCCGUCCUCACAGGACUCUCCAGGCUGCCCCCAGCUACCCCGUCCGUCACCUGAAAUCCUCAGAAAUUAGGAAAGAUUCCAUUAAAACUACACCUCAAAUUUUAGGCCUAAAUAAUAUUUUGAAAAUUUGGGGCUCAGUCUCAGGCCCCAUCUGAUGCGGGCUUAUGUGAUGCAGGCUCAGUCUGAGUCAGGCAGGUGGGGGCAGGUGGGGCAGGUGGGAUGGGGGAGCAUGGGUUGUGUGUUGGGGGUUAGUCUGGGCACAUUCCGCGCCCGCCCCACCCCCCAUAGCUGGGAGCACACCCCACAGAGCUGGAGAUGGCUGAGGGCUGCGGUUCUGGGAGUGCAUCCCCCCACCUCCCUCUGCAACUCUCCCCAAGGACCUUACUCUUGCGAGCCUCAGUUUCCCUAUCUGUACAAUGGGUGUGAUGUACCUCCUAGGGCAACCGUGAGAGUUAAGUGACAUCACACCUAUAAAGUUAUAAGCUCUGGAAGCCCAACGAAAUAAGUGGGGGUGCGAUGGACACACGCAGCGGCCUCCUGGCGGAUGGGGCCGAAAAGAACCCGCAUUUUCCUUCUUUCUGCGCUGAGGCUGCGCUUCCCGAGGAAGCAGUCGGCUUCUCCGGAGCAAAGCCGCUCCCUCCGCCGGAGGUGACAGGGGUCUCAGGGGGCUGGGCCACCUCCUGCGCGACUGCCACCGAGGAAAACACGGAAUGCUCUCCUCCCGGCUCAGGUUUCCAGACCCCGCCCCAACCCACAACAAUUUUGCAUAUAUUUAAAUCUCCUCUGUGGUUUCCAGUCUUGAGCCCCCCUCUCCCCAGCCUCCGGAAAAGAGAAAGAAAUUAGAAAAGCCCGUCAUUUGUCUCCGUCCCGCCCCAUCUAUCAGGCCUCCCAGCGCCGGGCCGGGACGGCCGCGUGCGCGGCGGCGGCGGCGGCGGGUAUUUGCAUACAUAUUAAACGGAGCCGUAAAAAUGCAGACAUGCAAACCGCGUGGACGCUCCUCGCGCGCAGCCUGCCAGGAAAUCAAUCUUCUGCCGUCUUAAAGGAAACCUGCUCCGGAGGAGGUGGCAGGCCGCGCUGCCCGCAUCCCCGGGGCGGGAGGCUGCGUGUGGAGAGAGGUCCUCUGUCCGUCUGUCAGGGGACCCAGCUGGCUUGGGGGUCCUUCCGACCACGGCCUCUGUGGAGCCCCUGGACAGGGAGCCAGGGGGCGCGGAGCCGGCUGCGCUCCCUAGAGUCAGAGGCUUGGCCCCUCUGAGCUCCCUGCACCCGGUGGUAGUGAUGACCGCACAGCCCUCGCGGACCCGCGGGGUGCUGGAGAUUUUUCCCUCACUCUGGGCCUCUGGGGCUUAAGCGGCUAACCCCAGGUGGCCCCGGCCCUCUCUACAGAGCUUGGAUCCCAAGCCGGGGGCAGAGGAGAUUGGCCAAGAGCACAGGCUCUGGAGGCAGGUGGCCUGAGUUCAAAGUCAGGUUCCACUCUUUGCAAACUGUGUGACCUUGAGCAAGUGCAUCAACCUCUCUGUUUCCUAAAAAUUGGGGAUCAAUAUACCCUCCUCUUAGGCUGUUGUUGGAUUAAAGUAGGUCAGUGAUUGCCUGGCACGCAGUAAGGACUCAGGUAAAUGGGGGCAGAGCAGAGUGUAGGAGGGCCCUUGGUGUUACUGGCGUGGUUCUCCAGGUUAAAAUCUCUCUAUGUCGCAGGGCUUGGCCGGCCACUCCCCCUGCGAGCCCCCUCACCUGUAAAUGGGGUAUUCUCACAGGAGCUUCCAGCCCACGAGGAUCACCUACCCCGCCCUCCAGACAUGGCCCAGGAGCUCCACUGUGGUUCCAGCGAGAUGCGGCCAAGGCGGCACCUCUGAGGGCUCCCAUCCCAUCAUCCUUUGCAGCUCAGGCAAAGCCCAGGGCCGGGAGGGGGGCACCCGAGCAUGCCCCGAAUGGGCUGAACAUCUGUGGGACCAGGAAGGGCAAGUGGCCCGGAGCCUCGGCAGAACCAGACCAUGCUGCCCGCUCCACCCCCCCCACUCUGAAUUCCACUCUCCAGAUGGGGAAACUGAGGCUCAGAAAGAGGUGCUGCAGCCACGAAGCUUGAAGGUGGUGGAACCGGGAUUCGAAUCGGGUUGCCAACAUAGAUGGAGCUCCUUCUGCAGCGGAGGGGAAUGCUGCUCCCCACCCCCGCCCCCCAUAGGCAGCGGCCCGAGGACGGCUGUGCGCUGGCCACCGGGCUUUCUAGGCCCCGAGUGACCCGCAGGGGAAUGGCUGGCGGCCCCAGCUGGCCUCUGGUUGCCAACUUGGACCAACAGGCUGCAGGUCGUGCGCACACAGUCUCCAGGCCUGGAUUUGCUCAGCAGAGCUUUCCAGAGCUGCCCCUGGGGGCCGGGCCUACGCCGGGUACGAGGCAUGAAAAUCCCACAGCCCGCGCUCCAGAUACACUGGCAAUCUGAGAUCACCGCCAUGAGCAGUGAUGCGAAGGAGAAGGAUGGUGUGAGCCUGAGCAAGAACUCAAGGCGCAGUUAGGCAGGGAGGGCUUCCUGGAGGAAGUGACAUUUAGCCAGCCUUAAGAGGAGAGAGCGAGGAUUCCAGGCAGAGGAGAGCAAGCGUGAGGCUCUAGAGAGAAGACAGAAGUGGACACGGUCUAGUCUGUGUGUCUGGAGGAGAGAGGGUGAGGGGUGGAGAGCCCCCAGGAGGGAGAGCUUGGCCUGUGCCGGGCCCCAGAAGGCCCUGGGACACUCCCAGGCUUGGACUGUCUUUGAGGGCAGUGAGGAGCCACGGAAGGGUUUCACCUGGGGAAUCACAUGGUCCAGUCUAGCUCGAGGCACUGAAAUUCCCUGGAGAGAAAAACAGAACCUUGACGGAGAGGGAGCCAGCGUGUUUUCAGGGACAAACCAGAUCUGCUCUAAGACAGAGCACCCAAACCAUGCCAAAGUGCCACCAACAGGAGGCCUUUCAAAUGGCAGCCUGGCAGCUGGGCCUGGCCUGGGGUCUCCUGAGGCUGGGAGGGCCACUCUGAGCUCCACCAUUCCCAGGCCAGCUGGAGGCAGCAGGCGGGCUCCUGUCCCGGGCUGGGGUCCGCCCCCCCACACCCCAGAGGCCACUCUGCAGACAGCCGGAGCUCAAUAAAUGCAGCAGUUAGAGCGUUGAAGUUAGAAGGGGCUGAGAGAUCAUUGGGCCCACUGCCUCCUCACUUCACAGAGGAAGAAGCAGCCCCAGAGGCAGCAAGGCCGGCUGAGGCUGCCAGUACAGGUGGAGGGGCAGCGCUGGGCCGGCCCCGUGGGUGUGCCCGGUCCGGGGGCCGAGGGGCAUGCAUCUGAGAUGCCCACGGCGCGUGGCCCGAGAGGAGGCCCAGCCCACUGUGACCUUGGCACCCACAGAGGAGACCCCAGAACCUCUGAGGACCCUCAACCCAAGCCCCCUUCUGGUCUCCCUCUCUCAUGGGCCUUCACAGAGGCUGAAAGAACCAGAGAUUCAAAUCCAGAAAACCAGGAACCGUUUGGAAACGGACGGUCGCUGAACCUAGCUGGCGGAGGGAGUCCGCGUCUCUGCCCCCUCAGAGCGUGAAGGAAUGAGCCAAGGGACAAAGUAAGUUAGCGGAAACUUCUGGACUGUAUUCUUUCGCUGGAGAACGUUUCCUUUUCUUUCUCCUCCUUCUUUUUUAAAUGAGGUAUUACUCAGAACACCAACAUACCAGCGGUUAAACGGAGCUGCCCGAUUGGAGAGGAAAGGGGUGGUCUGGGUCCACCCCGUACACACCCACGUGGGCGCCGGGCCCUCCUGGCCAGCCCCGGGCUCCUCCAAACCCACUGAGGGCCAGCAGGCCAGCCCAGCCGCAGAUGUUAGGGAUGGGGAAACCGAGGUCCUGGGAGGUGGAGGCACUCGCCCAGAGUCACACAGCUCUGAGGGAUGGAGCCAAGUGCCCCCAGGCCAGCCUGGCCCCAAGGACCCGCCUUGAGCACCUACAGCCCAAACACCUCCAUGGGCCCGGGCCCAGGCUGCAGGAUGGGGGCGCAGGUCUGCGUCCUGCUUUCCAAGGGUCGUCUCCUGGCCUGGCCUUUGGCUGGGACUCCCCAGGUCCUGCUCAGCGGCUGCGAGCUGAGAGGGCAAAACACGCCAAGGACGCUCCCUCUGUUGAAAUUGUGCCCCGACAGGACAGGAAGGGGCCUGGCCGGCUCCACGGCCGCACAUGCCCCCAGCAGAAGGGGGGCUGGGUUCCUUCCAGGUCCCAGGGGUCACCCUGCAGGAUCCCUGGGCAGCAGCCGAUGGGUCCAUUCUUGGUCAUAAGCGUGACCGAGCCUCCUUCCAGGCAAUGGCAUUUCUACAAGAGUUCUUCGAACCUGGGGGCCACCACCUCUAUGACCCACCAUCAGCUCGGCCAUGAAAAAGCAUUCCGGAACCUUCUGAAUCCUCAUCAUGACGGGAGGAGUUCGCCAUCAUCACCCCAUUUUAUAGAAGGGAAACUGAGGACCAUGAAGUCACUUGCCUGGGUCACACAGCGAGUAACAGACAUGGGCAGGCCCGGGACGCACCAGGUGCACGCUCCUCACCCCCGGGCCUCACGGCCUCCCAGCCUGGGGAUGUGACCACUUGUCACAGCAACGAGGCUCCAUAAAGCAAAGAUCCCCCCGGCUCGCCCUGACUCCUCGUCUGCGACUGUCCAUGAAAUAAAGCUUUCAUCUCCCCUAUUAUCUGUUUAUCUUCAGCAUCUAACCCACCCCAGUUUGCUCUCCACUCCAAUCUCCAGCUGGGCUCACCUGGGCCAGGAGUUUGUCUCUGAACUUCCAGAAGGCAGAGCUGCUGGUGUGGCUAUAGCCGUUAUCACGAAAAAAAUCUCAUUUUAUGCAUUUCAUAGAAUGAGUGGCCUGAUUUGGAAAUAUUGGUGGAAGCUACUGCUUGGGGACAAGGAUUGUGCAGCGGCCGUGAUGUCCGGGAGGCACCUGGCAUGGGGUGAGCGCUCCCCCAAAGGGGCUGGAUGAUUGUUAUUGCUGCUGUUCCCUGGGGCUGGGCGUGGCUGAUAAGUCCCAGACCUCUUCUUCCCGCCUUCACAGCACAGGUGAGCAGGUUCAGUCCUCACUCACCAACUGGCACUAAAGGGUGAGAAACCAGCUGGGGGAUGAGGCAAGUUAUCCGUCCUUGUCCUGAGUCAUGGUUACCUUGGUAGUCAGCCUGCAAGAUGUUCUCCGAUGAUUCCUGCCUCCUGUGUUCACACCUCUCUGGCUCCUCCCACAACGAACAGGGCUGCCCUGGGUGAGCAAUAGGACACCGCAGAAAUGACUGCAGGGACCAUCCAAGGCUGGGUCACAGAAGGCACGGUGGCUUCCGUCUUGCUCUCUUGCAUUGCUCUGGGGGAAACCAGCCGCCAUAUAGUGAAGAGACUCAAGCGGCCCCACAGAGAGGUCCCUGUGGCGAGGAACCGAGGCCUCUGACAAUGGCAAGCGCCACCUUGCCAGCCCUGCGAGGGCACCGUCUUUGAAGCCCGUCCUCCAGCUCCAGUCAAGCCGUCAGAUGAUGGCAGCCCCAGCCGACCCCUUGACUUCAACCUCCAAAGAGACCAGGAGCCGGAACCAGCCAGUGACACCACUUCUGAAUUCGUGACCCACAGAAACUCUGAGAUAAUAGAUGCUUAUUGUUCUAAGCCACUAAGUUUGGGGUGAUUUGUUACACAGCAGGAGGUAACUAAUACAGGAACAGGGAGAGCUUUUAGCUACCAGGGCCUUUCAUUGACUGGCUUCCCAAAGUGUAGUCCUUGGAAUACUUAUCGCAGGCUAUGCUCUGGAAAACCACGGCCCACGAGUGUGAGCAGACUGUGCACUUCAGUCUCUUACUCGAGAGUCUCAGUGCUCCUUGGUACAUCAAGCACAGGCCCCGCUGGGCAACGAAGCCCAGCGUUCUCCUAACCCAGCAUUUCCCAGGAGUCUCUGUGGAACUCUGGCCUCACCGCCUCAGAGCACUCUGGGAAACACAGGCAAACCAUCAUGGCAGCAGGCUCCUCGGGCACAUUAAACAAUUGUGCCCAUUUAUGAAAACAAAAACACUCCCAGCCUGAUAUUCAGAGUGUGGCCUGAGGCGCUGGAUACAAAGACAAGACGGCCGCCUCCCCCAGCGCACAGUCCCUCUGGCCUCUUUUUCCAGUUGUGGGGCCGCUUUGCCCUGGGUCCCCUCUGGUCCCACCGGUCUUACAAUCAACGGUAUUGAUCAGGGCUCCGGGCCAGUGUCUGGCGGUGGACCUCAGCCUAUUUGGGGACCAUUUUGGACUCAGAUUUUCGUUCCCAAACUCUGUAGCUCCAGCUCAUCAGCUCGCAGCCCACCGGCACAUGGGCCACACUGCGCCCUUGAACUCUGCACUCCUCGUGCUGGCGGUAUCCUCGGUACCCGGCCUCAGAGCUGGGCAUCUCUGGGUGGGAAUGCAACCGUGGUCUUAAAACACGAACCGCUGGAAAAUAGCGUCUGAUGGAGAAAAAUUCCUUUCACAGGCAACUUUUUAAGAGCAAAUCCACCCCCUUCACUGAGGGAAGGCUGCGCUCAGAAAACCACAUUCUUUUAGGCCCCUGGGGCUGCAUGGGGGUGGGAACGAGAUCUUUCUACACGCUAGGAGGCAGAGGUCUUUUCUUUUGUUGAAAACAUAAUUUCACCCUCACGUUGCUUCAUCUUUCCCAGCAGGGACGGUCUGGGGCUCUGGGGCCUGUCUGGAGCCAUCACUUCCAGACACCAAGUGGCCUGCCCUCCUCCCUCGGGCCAGAGGCCCCGGUGUAGCCACCUUGCCGCUCGGAGCGUGGCCCCGCUGGCCCAGCAUCCGCCUCACCUGGGAGCCCCUGCCCUGGCCCGCUGCCUCAGAAUCUGCCCCUUGAACAAGAUCCUCAAGUGAUCUGGGGGUUAUUCAAGCUGGGGAGGGAUCAGAUGCACCCCAGAACUGCCGUCUCAAGAUGCCCUCAGCCUGCCUGCCAACGGGCUGCCCUGCCCGCCCUCCUUAUUCCCCUCCCAGGCUCUCUGUCCCAUCACAGACUUCUCAGGGGUUCCAAGCGGAAUUUCCCGAGACCCAUUUUCAUGUGCGUUCUACACACCUCUGUGCCCCCUUUUCUCACCGAAAUCCAGUGAGAUGAUCAGGGCGUGAGGGGGUAGGACGUCAGGAGACCCGGACAAGAGGUAAUGACAACAGUAAAGACACCCAGCCCUUACAGGGGGCUCACAACCCAGGAGGGAGGCAAUGAGGCCCAGAGGUUCAGAGAGGAGAAGCCAUCUACCCAAGGUCACACAGCCAAUAAAUGGAAGAGUCAGGAUGACCCCACAGCCACCGAGCUCUCCCCUGACACCCUGCCACAUGGGACUUCCUUGAUGGGGAAAGGGGAGUGGCUUCAGGGACUGUCAACUGGCUUAGCCCAGUGGUUCCCAAUCUGGGGUUCCCUGGGGGGCCCUCAAAGGCCCUCUGCGGGGCUCCAAGCUAUCUACAGCCUCCCGAAACCCCCGAUGGUCACGCACCUUUACUGCUGGCCAGGCCACCACGGGCUACCUGCGACAUCAGGCUUCUUCGCUCUAACUGGGAUUAUCUCCACCCACUGUGCCCGUUCAGAAUCUCUGGGGCUGAUGGCAGCUGAGCAAGCAUCAUCGUUGUCCUUGACUAACCCCAAAUGAGAAAGCUUACAUUACUUCACACACACAGUUUGUUUGUUGGCCAAACAUGGGCCUUGGGGCAAGUAACAGCAGGAGGGGCUUUUCUGGUGGGAACGUAGAGAGGAAUUAGCUUAGAAAUGGGAGUUCCUGAAGGGAGGGCAUUUGUCUCCAUUAUUUUUCAGUGGCGGCAACUGCUUCUUAUACUUUCUUUAAAAUGAAGUAAGUACUUCCCCACCCCCACAAAGCCUGGUGCCUGCACCGCCCUGGGAGGCAAAGGGGGGGUGGCUGGCCGGGCACACAGCCCAGGUCUUCACUAGCUGCUCCUUGUACCACCUUCUCCACGAAAGCUGACCUUGAGGACGACGUGUGGGCUCUUGUUUGCAGGUUUUCAGCGAAGCCGAGUGGAAACCAACCACAGCCAUGCUUGAAUUUCUUGUAGGAACCUGCACUGAGACGGGGCGUGGACCUCUCCCUGCGGCCUCCACUCCGCUCUGCACCUUCCUUCGACUUCAGGCACGUCCGAGUGCACACGUGGGGCUGGGGUGCGGCUUCUCUUGCUCCUUCUAGCCAGACCCUCCCCUCCACCCCUCCCAUCUCCACCACUCCCCCCUCCACCCCACACCCACAGGAGGUUUGAGGCCGUGGAGCUUUUGGUCAGGAGCGUGCAGAGGCUCAAGGCCAGGCCUCGGAAGGCUGAUGGAUGCCGGGGGCUCACAACCAACUUCCAACUUCACUCCUGGACACGCUUCGUCCAUCUGGAGACAUCUCGUUGGUGGGGAGGACCCCAGAGCUCAUGACCACUGGAAAGUGUCCUCCCAUCCGGGACUAGAAGUCACCUUUGGGGACAGGAUUGGGGAGGAGAAGCACAGUCGCUUCUUAAAAAUGAGUCUCAUGUGUCUGAGUAGCAGGAGCUGGACACCCUGGUCCAGAGGCCCCACGACCGUGGACUAGAACGGGUGAAGGUCAAGGACAAUGAAGGUCAAGCCAACUAGAUUUCAAAUACAGCUCAAGAGGAGUCCACUGUGAGAUAUAAAAAACGCACCAUCCAUCAGCCACAGUAAAGGGCCUAGAACUCUGAUGUCGACACACCAAGGAGGGGACAUCUUUUUUAUGCGCGGAAGGAUUCUUCUGGUGCUAACAUCUGUUGCCCAUCUUCCUGUCUUCCUCUUUUCUUUUUUUUCUUCUUCUCCCCAAAGCCCCCCAGUAUGGCUGUGUAUCGUAGUUGUAAAUCCUUCUAGUUCUCUGUGUGAGCCACUACCACAGCAUGGCAACUAACAGACGGUGGUGUGGUUCCACGCCACGGAAAUGAACCCAGGGUGCAGGCGUGAGAGAGCCAAACUUUAGCCACUAGACCUUCAGGGCUGGCUUGAGGGGACUUUUGUAAGUCAAGGUCCGUGGGGAUCUUUCCAGUGACUCUUUAGGGUGUGGAUCAACUACACCACGUGUUGUCUCUGCUCUGUGGAUGUGUCCCCAUCUCCUAGGAGACAUACCUCCUCCAGGGCAGGAACCACCUCUGGUUCAUCUUUGCACCCUGAGAGCUCACUGGGUACCCUGCAGGCAGGACCCAAAGUCCCUAUGGGGUGUCUUCCCCACCACGCUGAGCCCCUGCUGGAAGCAGGACUUCACUCUGUUCAUCAGCAAAACAGGGGGCCGGGGCCAAAGCCAGGCUCAUUGGUUUCUCACUGAGUUUCUCACCAUGCCUAGCGUGCAGGACACGCCCACAAGCGGGGGAUCACCAUCCUUCCCAGGGCUGAUUGCAACACUGGGUAUGUGGCGGGCGCUCAGGUACUGGUUGGUGUCCAGACAGGCUUUCUUUAAACCAACAUUUCUUAAAGUAUAGGGAUAAAAAUCAUAUAUUAUUUGUGCAAAAUGUGGUUUGUUUUCUUUUUUAAGAGAAAGCUUGACUUCCUUCUCCCCACCUAUAGCCAGGAAUCGAGAUAGAUACUUCCCAUGCAUGCCCAUUUUACAGAUGAGGAAGCCAAGGCUCAGAGAGGUCAAGUGAGGUCCCCAAAGUCACUCAGUGGCAGAACCAAGCUCUUAACCAUUAGGAUCUUGGGUUUAUAGCCCUUGGCCUCUCUGGGACGUUUGCUUAAAGCCCCAGAACGAGGGGCACUAUCACAGAGAUAAGCAACAGUGAUCAACUGCACAUAUGAAUUAACUGGGUCAUGGUCACAUAGUAAAGGCACAUCCACUUGAAAGAUUUCUCUGAGUGGGACCCAAUGUGACAAGGAAGGAAAAUUGAAUCAGAUCACACGAAAAAACCGGGCAACUCCGGGAGAGUGUGACCUGCCCAAGACGGAGCUAACUCUGGCCAACUCUCCUCUGAUUUCCCAGGAAGCAAGGAAAAGGUGAGGAGAGGGCAGGGUCCGUUCAGAAGCCUCUCAGGUUUUAGUACAAGGCCUGAGAACCCUGGGUGGGGGUGGGGUGGGGGGAUUCGUGCUCUGUGUCUUUCUUCAGGGGUCUCAGAGAGGGUCUCUGAAGCAGCUGUGAGAGGUGGUGACUAGAAUCUGGGCUCUGGAGCCACAGAAACCUGGGGUUCUCUCCUGGCAAGCUGUGCGACCUCCCUGACCUUCUGUCUCUUCAUCUGAAAUGUGUCCAGCAAAGCUUUACUGUCCAGGUGCUCUCUGUGGAGCAGGUGCUGGGUGCCGAGGACUCAGCAAUGCCUGGGGGAGACCAGAGUGGAGCCUUCACCAACCUCACUGCCUAACGGGAGGCAGCAAAUGUGGAGACAAACCAAUUCUGAGACCCGCUGGAAAGAAAGAACACAGAGAGGAGAAGCAUCUCUAGCCCAGGCUGGUGGGGAGGCUCCGAGGGUGCAGCCACGUCAAGGCUGAGCCCAGCACCGAGCUCGGGGCGGGCAUGCGGUCAGGGACAGCUGCUUUUGUUGCUGCUAUUAUUACUGUAACCUGAAUAAAACCGGGCCCAGUCUCAUCACCAUGUCACAUUCAAAAGAAACACCAGUGUGACACCCUCAAAUCCUUGAAAAGCAGUUUAAAUCUUCCAGAAAUCUCUCAAAUACACCCCAAAGGGGAGUCCCUCUGCACACCACACACACAAGCCUUCUCGAGACUCUGCAUCAGCGUGUCUUCCCUCCACCUCCUUCAUUUCAUCCUCUCGGAGAGGCAGGGCUGCUGGGCCUGGCCGUGGGGGAUGGGGCAUUGGGCAGGCCAGGCUCUGCCCUCACCAGCCAUGUUGCUUAACUGCUCUGUGCCUCAGUUUCCUCAUCUGCAAAACCUGGAUAACAAUAGCACGCCUUCGAGGAGUCACGAGUGGUUGUGGGCACUCAGUGAGGUAAGGGCUCUAAGUGGUCAAGAUAAGCAUUCACCACGAGGCCACCCAAGUGGGAACUCUUGUGAUUUCCUUCCACUGCCCUUUGCAUCUCGCCCCAGUGAGGAGCUCCAGCAGGGUCUCUGGUCCCUCGGUCUGGGCUUUCUAGGUCCUGGUACAACACAGCAGCUCCACCCACCACCCCACCAGCCCAGUGCUGGCAGGCACACUCUGAAACUCCCUCUUCCUUAGGAGUCACACACAGGGGCAGCCUCCCCUGGGCAUCACCUUAGACUGUCAGUGCUCAGAGGGCAGGGCCGGGUGUUCCCUGAUGCACUGGGGAAAGACAGCUCCUCACCAACCAAGGCCACCGCUUGCCCCACGCCUGCGCAGCAAAGCACAAGGUGGUUCCCACAUCCUCCUGGCUCCCCAGGCCACAGGGUAGGCCGUGCAUCAGGGACCGGGCUGUCUCCCUUCCCGAGGGGCCCUGGGCCAGGGCCUUGCCAGGCGUGGGGCCCUGCCCUCACAGGGCUCACAGUCCUGCAUGCAAGGCAGAUAAUCGGGGCCUGAGUAGGAGGUGAGACAGCCGGGGCCAGCAGGAAAGGGCCUGCAGAGGAGUCAGGGAGGGCUUCCCAGAGGAAGAGGCCCUGAAGGGAAGGGCUGGAAUCAGAGGGAGGGAAGGAGUUCCAGGCAGAGGCCACAGACCAGGCAAAGGCCUGGAGGGGAGAAAGCAGUGGGCUCAAGAAGCCGCACGUUCUCUCUGACCUCCUACAACAGGUGCAGUUCACCGAGCACUGUCACCGACACCCCCAGAGGUCAGAGGGCAGGAGUCCUUAGCCCCAGUUCACAGAUGGGGAGACCAGCUCUAAGAGAGAAAGCGACAAUUCCUGGCUGGGACUAGAGCCCGCCUCUUCUGACUCCUGGCUCAGGUGAGAGAAUCAGCAGACUGGGUCUGCGGCACCCCUGGCAUCUGCUGAGCGCCCAGGCGGGCCUGCUAUCAUCACCCCCAUUUUACAGAUGAAGAAACUGAGGCCGAGGGAGACCACAACAUCCCUCUAGUCUUGCGGUGCUUGUCUAUCUCUGGGGAUGGGACGAGCCUGAGGCGCCGAGAUGCCCUCCCCAGGCCGGGCAGGAAACAGCCAGGAGCGGGGUGACUUGGGGUGAAGGAAGGAGGGGAGCGGGGACGGCUGGCGGAAGCCCACACCAGGCAGGGAAAGGCGGAGGAAUGUGGGUGGGGUUGGGGUGCGCCUCUCCAGGAGGCCGGCCUGGAAGGGCCCCAGGGCCCCAGGCAGCCCCCUCACUCCCUCGGGGUGAGACCCUGACUUCCCGGAAGACACCGCCCCCCAGCUGGGCGGGGAGAAGGACACUACCUCCGGCCGCCCAAUCAGACGCACGCCCAGUCUGAUGGGGGAGGCAGCCGGGGCGGAGGGCGCCCAGGGCCCUCCCGGAGGCGCCCCGGGACCUGCCCCGACUCGGCGGCCCACCGCCCCGCCGCCCACCCCCAGCCUCAUUAGCGCCGACGCCCGUCGUCCUCCCCUCGGCUUCCGGUGGCUCCAGAAUUUAAAGGUUAAAUCCUAACCUCGUCUCAGCAGUUUCUCCCGGCUUUGCCUACCCAGCGCCAGUUGCUGGUGCCCAAGAAAACGGGAUUCUGGAAACAGUGCUCUCAAGGCCUGUCCGUGCUGUGAAACUACAAAGACCACAGCAUUUCAGAAGCCCUCCCCGCCUGCUCAUGAGGAGCUUCAGCAGUGAACCAGCUCCAGGCCCCGCCCUCAAGAAGCUGUUUGUCAGGGAGAAAAACAGAUAGAUACAGCUGACCCUGAAUGCUGGUCUUCAGACCCCAGGCAACGGCCAAAGUAACGGGAGGCCACAGGAUGGAACAAGAAGACGGCAGACUACAGACAUAAUGAAAUGAGGCAAGCUGGGGUGGAGGGGCCUGAGUGCAGGCGUGAAGCCCAUAUUGGCUGUGAAUCGGGGUCCUGGAGAAGAUGCCCUGAGUUCAGGUGGGCUCCAGCACAGGGCCGGCCAUGGGCCCUCUCCAGCCUCAGGGAUCCCAGGCUGAAGCCAGUGGGGAAACUUGCUAUUUUAAAGGAGACCUGAAAUGGAUUCCUUCAGAACGAAGAGAAGCUCCCUGGAUGGGGGUAAUAGAAAUGCUGCAAUCGUCAGGAUGGGCUAAUGGAUGUAACAAACAGCCCCCAAAGAAAAGUUUAUUUGAGCCAGCCCUGAUGGCCUAGUGGUCAAAGUUCGGCGUGCUCUACUUUGGUGGCCCGGGUUUGGUUCCCUGUUGCAGAACCACACCACUCGUCUGUCAGUUGCCACGCUCUGGUGGCAGCUCAUAUAGAAGAACUAGAAGGAUUUACAACUAGGAU